rnacentral:rRNA from 1 species
GACGAACGCUGGCGGCGUGCUUAACACAUGCAAGUCGAACGGUGAAGGGACCGGUUUUUGCUGGUUCUGGAUGAGUGGCGAACGGGUGAGUAACACGUGAGUAACCUGCCCCCUUCUUCUGGAUCACCGCAUGAAAGUGUGUCUAAUACGGGAUAUUCUGCGCCUGCUGCAUGGUGGGUGUGGGAAAGGUAUUGUUUCGGUGGGGGAUGGGCUCGCGGCCUCGCAGGUUGGUAGUGGGGUGAUGGCCUACCAAGGCGGUGAGGGGUAGACGGCCUGGGAGGGUGGGCGGCAACAGUGGGACGGCGCCACGGCCAAGACUCCUACGGGAGGCAGCAGUGGGGAAUAUUGCACAAUGGGCGCAAGCCUGAUGCAGCGACGCCGCGGGAGUGAUGGAGGCCUUCGGGUUGUAAACCUCUUUCGCCAGUGAAGCAGGCCUGUCCCUUUUGUGGGUGGGUUGACGGUAGCUGGAUAAGAAGCGCCGGCUAACUACGUG